rnacentral:rRNA from 1 species
AACGAACGCUGGCGGCAGGCUUAACACAUGCAAGUCGAACGCACCUUUCGGGGUGAGUGGCAGACGGGUGAGUAACGCGUGGGAAUCUACCCUUCUCUACGGGAUAGCUCCGGGAAACUGGAAUUAAUACCGUAUACGUCCUGAGGGAGAAAGAUUUAUCGGGGAAGGAUGAGCCCGCGUUGGAUUAGCUAGUUGGUGGGGUAAAGGCCUACCAAGGCGACGAUCCAUAGCUGGUCUAAGAGGAUGAUCAGCCACAUUGGGACUGAGACACGGCCCAAACUCCUACGGGAAGCAGCAGUGGGGAAUAUUGGACAAUGGGCGCAAGCCUGAUCCAGCCAUGCCGCGUGAGUGAUGAAGGCCCUAGGGCUGUAAAGCUCUUUCAGUGGGGACGAUAAUGACGGUACCCACAGAAGAAGCCCCGGCUAACUUCGUG